rnacentral:rRNA from 1 species
AUGGCAGAGGAACCAUCCGCCAAGCGUCAUCAUGGCGAGCCGUCGGACAAGAGCAGCGACCUCAUUGACAUUCACGUCCCCGGUGAGAAGCGCGAGUACAUGAGAACCCUCACAGGGGUUGAGCUCCACAAUAAAGAGACGCUGGAGAUCGUGUGCACCAGCGAACCAGAAAAGGCCGACGAGGUGAUGAUCAAUGUGUGUCUCCCCCCUUGCAGGCCCAAGCACCUCAAACAGUUCCUACAGGAGGAGAAAUUGUACACAUUUGUCGGUUUCAGCAUUGGAGGCGACAAGCAGAUGCUGAACAAGUCUGGUUUGGAGAUCAACCCCAACAAC